rnacentral:rRNA from 1 species
GAUGAACGCUGACAGAAUGCUUAACACAUGCAAGUCUUUGGCGAAGCUGUGCUUGCACAGCCUAGCCAAGGCGGACGGGUGAGUAACGCGUAAGGAACUUGCCCUGCAGUCAGGGAUAACAGACGGAAACGACUGAUAAGACCUGGUAAAGUCAGGCGGACUCAUGUCCAGCCUGAUGAAAAGAGAUGCUGCAGGAGAGCCUUGCGUCCUAUUAGCUUGUUGGUGGGGUAACGGCCCACCAAGGCGAUGAUAGGUAGCCGGCCUGAGAGGGUGGACGGCCACAAGGGGACUGAGAUACGGCACUUACUCCUGCGGGAGGCAGCAGUGGGGAAUAGUGGACAAUGGGGGCAACCCUGAUCCAGCAAUUCUGUGUGCACGAUGAAGGUUUUCGGAUUGUAAAGUGCUUUCAGCAGGGAAGAAAAAAAUGACGGUACCUGCAGAAGAAGCGACGGCUAAAUACGUG